AGUGAACGCUGGCGGUAGGCCUGACACAUGCAAGUCGAACGGCAGCACAGUAAGAGCUUGCUCUUACGGGUGGCGAGUGGCGGACGGGUGAGGAAUACAUCGGAAUCUACUUUUUCGUGGGGGAUAACGUAGGGAAACUUACGCUAAUACCGCAUACGACCUACGGGUGAAAGCAGGGGAUCUUCGGACCUUGCGCGAUUGAAUGAGCCGAUGUCGGAUUAGCUAGUUGGCGGGGUAAAGGCCCACCAAGGCGACGAUCCGUAGCUGGUCUGAGAGGAUGAUCAGCCACACUGGAACUGAGACACGGUCCAGACUACUACGGGAGGCAGCAGUGGGGAAUAUUGGACAAUGGGCGCAAGCCUGAUCCAGCCAUACCGCGUGGGUGAAGAAGGCCUUCGGGUUGUAAAGCCCUUUUGUUGGGAAAGAAAGGCAGCAGGUUAAUACCCCGCUGUUCUGACGGUACCAAAAGAAUAAGCACCGGCUAACUUCGUG
rnacentral:rRNA from 1 species